rnacentral:rRNA from 1 species
UACGUAGGCAGCGAGCGUUGUUCGGAAUUACUGGGCGUAAAGCGUCUGUAGGUGGUUUAAAAAGUCUAUUGUUAAAAAUUGAAGCUUAACUUCAAAGAUGCAAUGGAAACUUUUAAACUUGAGUAUGGUAGGGGUAGAGGGAAUUUCCAGUGGAGCGGUGAAAUGCGUAGAUAUUGGAAAGACCACCAAUGGCGAAGGCACUCUACUGGGCCAUUACUGACACUGAGAGACGAAAGCUAGGGGAGCAAAUGGG